rnacentral:lncRNA from 1 species
GCAUAACACGGAAAAUCCUCUCAAUCUCUUUAAGCCACGUCUGGGCUCCAUCAGGGUCAUAUCUUCCUUUGAAAGUUGGAGGGUUCUUCUUCAUGAAAGUCUCCAACAUCCUAGUCUCAGCAUUCGCACCAGCAUUCGCGUUAGGUUGUUGUCCCACAGCUUGGGCAACAACUUGUAGAGCAGCAGCUAACGCAGCAUCGUUCCUUCCAGCCAUUUCUGAUAUUCU